rnacentral:misc_RNA from 1 species
AGAAAUACCAUUAAGCUUUAUACCAGCUUGGGAGCAGCCAACACCACAGGAGUAUGGGAAGCCCUUUUAAUCUUCAAUCGUUCAAAUCUGCAAGGGAAUACUAGUUGGUGUGCUUACUAUUGGUCAUUUGGGUUCUUUUGUUGCGUUGACUAGCUCAAUCCAAAUGCAACCCUGCUUUGGUUUUAAUUUUGAAGUUGCUCAUAAAAGGUGCAAGUAAAUGUCUCUUGUAAGAAUUUUAGGAAUGGUGUAUGUUUUUCUUUUAUUGGCUGUCGUGCUCAUUUGAUAUAUUAGAAAAGUGUUUAUCAUAUUUGAUUAGAUGUGGUUCAGGAAUCCAUCUGUCUGAAGCCAUUGAAAAUCCCCGGAGAUUUGAUUUUCCCAACAGAUUUGUUUAUUUGAAUUUGCGUUCUUUUC